rnacentral:rRNA from 1 species
UACAGAGGGUGCAAACGUUAAUCGGAAUGACUGGGCGUAAAGGGCGCGUAGGCGGGCGAUUAAGUUAGAUGUGAAAUACCUGGGCUUAACCUGGGUGCUGCAUAUAAUACUGAUUGCCUAGAGUAGGGCAGAGGGGAGUGGAAUUUCCGGUGUAGCGGUGAAAUGCGUAGAUAUCGGAAAGAACACCAGUGGCGAAGGCGGCUCCCUGGGCCCAUACUGACGCUGAGGCGCGAAAGCGUGGGUAGCAAACAGG